rnacentral:rRNA from 1 species
AUACGGCCAUAUCACGCUGAAAACACCGGUUCUCGUCCGAUCACCGAAGUUAAGCAACGUCGAGCCUGGUUAGUACUUGGAUGGGUGACCACCAG